rfam:Mesocricetus auratus contig106302, whole genome shotgun sequence.
GUCGGUUACGGGGAUAUGCACCCAGUGACCAUAGGAGGCAAGAUUGUGGGCUCUCUUUGUGCCAUCGCAGGUGUCUUGACCAUUGCAUUGCCAGUUCCUGUAAUUGUUUCCAAC